AGAAGAAGAAGAAGAAGAAGAAGAGUUAUUUUUGGUCAUGCUACACACAGUUUUUUUGGAGAUCUGCCAGGAGGGAUGAAAUUCACUUAGAAAUAAUAAAAUGUCAAGAGUGUGAAUUUGAAUAAAAAUCUUUUUCAUCAUCUGUAAAAAGUUUUAAUAUUCCUUGGAGGGCUUUGCUUAAAGAUGAGGAAGAAGACUAUUAAAUGUUAUAUUCACAAGGAA